rnacentral:lncRNA from 1 species
UUAAAAUUCUCUCUCUCUCUCCCUUCUCUCUCUCUCUCUCUUAAAAAAAAAAGAUAUAUGCAGAGUCAGAUGCAGCAUGAGGAUCAUUCAGGUGGGAGGCAUGCCUUGAGGUGUCGGGGUGGAAGCCUGUUUUGUGAUGGAACAUGUGUGUGGGUCUCAGUAAUGUGAUCUUAAAGGAGAGACAAGCUCCUCCGACAAGCAGGCCUGUUGGGGGAGGAUGUUUAAAGGGGUUGCCAAAAGUGUCCCAGCCUUCAGCAAAGGAGAGAGUUUCAGUUUGGGAACAUAAAGACUCCCUCCUGCACCUCCACAUUCUCAGUCCUUAGAACCAUCUCCAGGAAGCUCCCUCACUGAGGGUACCAAGUCAUAGUCUGGACUGCUCUCUUGUUAGGCAGGUCUUCUGCUCUCUACCCCCACACACAGGAAGAUGACAAGCUUCUGCUGCUCCUCUGCCUUUUCACUCUCCCUUGGGGACCAGCCUGAAGCUAAGUCUGGCCUCUGGAUUCAUAACAAUCACCUCCUAGGUACCUGUAGAUGUAGGGGGUGUUUAUAGUUGUAGGGGCUAAGGAAAACAUUUCCAUACAGAAAGGAGUGAAUCAAUAAGUAUGUGUGAAUCAAUAAGGCUAUGAUUGUGUGUGUAUUUGUGUGGGUGUGUGAGUGCACACACAUGGCUGUGUGUGUGAGGACAUGUGGGUGGAGUAUGUGAGAACAUAUAUGCAUUUGUCUGGAGAUGUCCAAGUGUAUAUCUAGGUAUUGUGUGUAUGUGAAUCUGUGUGUGUGAUCUGUUUCUGUGAGUCUGUAUUUGUAUGAAGUGUGAAUAUGUGUGAAUCAAUAAGGCUAUGAUUAUGUAUUUGUGUGGAGUGUGUGUAUAGCCCUUCCCUUGUCAGCCCCCCAUCACUCAGCCUGCCCUACAUUGCCAUGUUUGCAUCUUAGGAAUUGUAAGCCCAAGAUUAUGCAUGGCUGUAGACCUUGUGGGCCAACCUGCUCCUUGUGUGUGCAUGGGUGUGCUUGUGUGUGUGUGCAUGUGUGCAUUAGGGGUUGAAGCAUGUAGUGGAAGAGCACAAUGAAGGAGCCCCUUUCUGUGUGGAGGCAGAUAGCCCCCUAGGGCAGCCUGGAGACUGGGAUCUGUUGCUGCCCUCCUUGCAGGGAGCAUGAGUGUGUAUGUGUCUCUGUGUGUGGAUUUUCCUUUUUUGUGUUAUGAAUCAGAUCCAGGGCUGUUUGUAAUCCCGGUGUUUUCCAAUAAGGAAAUAUACAAGAUAUCUGGGAUCCCUCAGAAUGGCCCAUGUUUGUAAGGAAAUUGCAGGCUAGUCCAAAUGAGAAGGGCAGAAUUGAAAAAUGGCACAUGGGAGAGUGUCAGCAAAGUUUCUGGGAGGGCUCUGGCUCAGGUUCUGGUCCUAGAUUUUCCACCAGCUUCCUCAGAACUGUGCCCUAAUUUCUUUCCUUCUCUAGGACUCAAUUUAUCAUACGCAAGAUGAGUUUAUCCUGAUGUCCCAGUCCGGUCCUUGUCAGUGCAGCUUGGUUUAGAGAACAGGCUGUGGGUUGUGCAUUGCCCCUAGUGGCCAGAGUCCUGGGCCUCUGUCCUGGGGUCCGAAAGGUUUAGGGUUGGAAUAAGCUUCCUGUGUGGCUAUAGGCUGAGAGCUACUUAUACUCAAAGAGACCUCUAGUCGCCCUGCUUGGUGUCUUGGAGGGGCAGGGGCCUAACCUCGCUACAUUGGACAGAUCUGUUGAACUCCAGAUCUGGAAUCACAGUUGCAAAUUUGUGGUGCUUUCAAUAUCCGGAAUUGGUGGGGGCCCUCAUUUUAGGAAUAAGAAUUUCCAUUUACCAGUGAAUAGUAUGCACCAUACUCUCGAGUAUACAAUAGGCUUAUGAGUUGGGUAGUUUGUCCCCAUUUCACAGAGAGAUCAACUGAGGCUCACAGGAGGCAAUGACUUGCCCAAGAGCAUCCCGUCAAAAAGGGGCAGAUUUAGGACUUACUUCCCAGGUCUGUCUGUCAUCAGAGCCAAGCUCUUACCCACUGUCCCGAUACCACAAAUGUUUCUAUCCAAUCCCACACAUCGCCACAUCCUUGGAAUGUGAGGGGGGUCAUAAUUUGUAAUGUAUAGAUUGUAAUCCUGGGCCCUGAGACAGUAAGCAAUGAUCCAGUGGAGGGAAACUGUUUCAAAUUUGCAAUCUUUGAGCUCUCUUUUGAGCAUGGGUUCUCUAAGGACUUGGUUAAAAAACAUCUAUGUCCCUCAAAGCAGACCUCCUCCAUUCUUUUGUUCCUUUACUUAUCUCCUUGGCAAGAGACAUCUAUUCCAAUAUCAGAGGGCCAGUUUUCAGUGGGAUAGUAUUGAAAGCUCUUGUUCAGAAAUUUGAGCACCAAAUCAGGUCUUCCCUCUUCCCUCCCUCUGGGUUCAGAGGAGCUGUUUCCCUGAUUGUCAGUGCCUCACCCUUUUUUUUCUGAAAGGUGAGUCUUAAUCAGUUUUCCUAGAUAAGCUGGACAACUUCCAUAUUUGGCCUGACCCUCGGUAGCCACUAAGGGCUGGAAAAUAUGUCUAGUGCUGACCUAGAAACCCAUCAGGACCCAGGACCAGUGAAGCAGGUUAAGAAGGUACUUCAGGCUCAGGCAGAGCUGUAUUCAAAUCCUGGAGGCUUUUAAAAAUUUUUAAAUUUGUUCUGUAUAGUUGUACAAGUAGACAGUAGAAUGUAUUUAGGCAGCAGAAUGCAUUUCAAUUCACUGUACAAAAAUGAAGUGCAACAUUUCUAUUCUCUGGUUAUACAUGGUGUAGUAAUGUACCAAUUUGUGCAAUUACACCUGUACUAGGGGUAAUGAUGUCCAAUUUAAUUCCACCAUCUUUCCUAUCCUCAUAAUCCCUUCCCACUGUCUCCUUUGUCCAAUCUAAAGUUCUUUCAUUCUUUGUAUG